rnacentral:lncRNA from 1 species
UCUGUCCCUAUCUACUUACUUUCAACAUCAGCCUACCAGAUCCAACCGCUUUUUUCUCAGUUCUAGCCUCUGCUCCUUGCUCUCAAACUUUUUAUAUCUUUCUUUCGAUCUUCUUUUUAUGUUCUCUGUUAGACUGUAAACUACUUUGCCUUUCGUCAAUUUUCUUAAUGAGCUUUACUGAUCAUUUUUCUCUAUUAUUUAACAGCAUGUUUUGAAGCAUUUGUAUUCUAUUUUCUCUAAUCUUCUUCCACUUUUACAUGGCAUUUUCAAGAACAACUUUUUGAAUUUUAUCACAAUUUUGCCCAAAGUUUUUCCGAUUCUCUUCAGAUCUCUGAAUUUCACAUCUGAAAUUCAUGGCUUGAUGUCCUUAUUGUUCUGUCCCCAAUUUCAUGGAUGAUGUAAAGAUUUUUCAGUUGUCAUCCUUACAAAACUGCAAUCCUUAUUUUAACAGCUGCAUAUUUAUUCUUCAAAAAUAACACAGAUUAUGUGCCCUCCCUCCGUUAGCUUCACCCUUGUAGUUUGCUGUUAUUGUUUCCUCUUUGUUCAUUUUAUUAUCUCGGUCAUAAUUCUUCUACUUAAUCAAUUAUUUCCAUCUACUAUGCGUGUUUCAGUUCCAGAUCUGAUUUUCUUCCACUUUUUCCCCCCAAUUUUUGACCAAGAUUCCAAGUGUUUUUAAUUAAAUUUUUUUACUCUUUUGAUGUAGUAAAAUUGGUAAUGUCGGCAUUGAGUGCUUUGUGGUCAUUGUCACACUCUUUGUAUAACUUUUGUUGUUUAGGGCUAAGUUAAUGUUGCAAAAUCUGUAUCGUCUUUGGUGUUUGAAUGAGAGGUCAUUGUCACACUCUUUGUAUAACUUUCUGGGCCUCUGAUGUCUUUAUAUUGGGAGAACAGGUACUCUUGAAGCUCUUAAAAUUAUUAAUAUUUUUUAAAACAAUAGAUUGACCACUAAUUUAUGUUUUGAAAAAAGAAAGAAUCAGUGUACUUACUGAGCUCCUGUAUUCACAACUUGUGUAUCGGUAUGAUAUUCAAAUGAAUUUUUCCGUACAUAUCAAAAGGUCAAAGUCGAUAGUAGUGGGUGCUCAGAUGAAUCUGUUAUGGUACACCGGGUCUGCCACUGCAAAUGCAUCUAUAGGACGGAUGGAACAUAGAUGAUACAUAUAUAUAGUAAAUCUAACUAAUUUGUGAAGGAGGCAAUAAUGAUUAAUCGAUCAAUAAUCAUUUCGUGAGUAAGUCAAUAAAGAUUGGGAUCUUAAAUUGAAGUGUCAUUUUUGCUGCUUCACUUUGACAAAAUUCAAUUUGAGGUGUACUUACAAGUAAACACACUCACUCAGCAAGAAAAGAGAGGCAAACCAGUGAUUAUAGUUGAGCUCUGUCUUUUAUAAGUCCUAUAGUCUUUUCAGUUGUUGUAACUAUUGGUUCAUAUUGUGGUUUGCUUAUUAAGUAACAUGUUGGUCCUUUUAAGAUCUAUUUAGAAUGUCCAUUCUAUGUUGUCUACGCCUUCUUUGGAUUAAAUUAGUUGCUCCAAAAGGUUUGGGAUUGAUUUAUUAUCAAAAUUAGAAGUAGCUUUUCCCUUUGUAUCCUGGAUAUGAUAUUAAAUUUCAGUUGCUCUUGCAGGUGGCUGUUUAAACUGAAAACCUGAAUUUUUAGUUUGCUCCACUAUCUUUGUGAAAUUUAAAUAUAUUAAAUAGAGAUUAGAUAAAUAUGGAUUAUUGUGAUUAUGCAACUUAGAAGAAAAACUCUAGAUAUUUGCUGCUUUUGGACGGGAUGAUUUUCAAAAUGAAACCGCUAAGGCGCUGCUAUAUUCUCCAAAAAUUUAUUGUACCCAUUAUCCAUAAUAACUGACAAAGGUAUGAGGUUCAUUUGUAUGAUAAUUGGGAUUUCUGGAUGGUUAAGAAGUGAGAUC